AAAAAACUUAACUCAUUACUAGGAGUACAAAAUUUGUUCUAGAAACAUCAAGUCUAGUCAUCUGAUUGGUUGGAUUGUGAAUCUGAGUACAUUAAUUGGUUGGAUUGUGACUCUGAGUACAUUAAUCAUGCUCCAAAUGUUUAUGACCUAAAGGGCUCAGUGUAAAUUCAAAAGAGGGACGAAAGAUAUCAGAGGGACAUUCAAACUCAUAGAUCGAAAAUAAACUGACAACGCCAUAUCAAAAAAUAAAAAGACAAACAGC
rnacentral:lncRNA from 1 species